ACACAUGUAAAGAAUGUCCUGAUAACACGAUCAGUUCAGAAGGAGCAGCCUUGUGUACAACUUGUGAACUUGGCCAGGAACGAAACUCAGCGAGAACAACGUGUGAGCCGUGUGGGGAAGGAACAUAUCGGAAUGAUGCUAUGACAAGCUGUGAGACAUGUGACGCUGGAUGGAAACCAAACACUAACAAAACUGCCUGUGUGAGCUGUACGGGACUGAAGGCUGAGUGGAGAACUGCGAUCAGAACAACAACACAGUUCCCAGUAGUCCCAGGAACCGUGGUGGAAGUGAAUUGUAUUGAAUCCAGAGCUCUCAAUAAAGGGAGCAGCGAUGUGACCUGCACCUCAGGAACGGAAUUUAUUUUCGAUUUUAAUGAACCCGAGUGUAUAAAUACAGGUAUAAUUGUAAAAGCGGAUAUGCUAAAUGACCAUAUCAUCACUACAAAAUGAUAACUAAACUCUUCAUACAACCAGGAUAGUAUCAGCAUAACCGACGAAAGGGGGUAAAAUAAUGUCUUAAGGGGGAGAGUUGGUUAAUGGCUACAUUACUAUAGAAAACUGAUUUAUUUAAUCUUACAGUUGAUGGGCUAUGACAAAUAGCUCAGAUGAUACUGCAAUCUAACUUAGAUAUCUAAAUAAGAAAAUGAAUGUUGGAGUUUUCCGGGUGGAAAAGUAUGACAGCAGAAACCCAAUACCCAUAAGUCCCCAGAAAAGUUAUCGAGGUAACCUGCUCUGAGAUCUCAACACAACAGCAUUUGACAAAGCAAAAUAAAAUGUAAAAUCAAUUUAAAUUCAAAAAUUUAACAAAGAAUGCAUUUUCUUUCUAACAUAGUAAAACACUUUGUUUCAUAAAUAUAUUAAAUU